UCACAAACUGUCUUUAAAGUUGAAUUGUUCGAAUGUUCAUAUCGUCACAUGGACACGUGAUCGUAUAGUGGUAUAACUGUUCGGUCCUGACUGAGUAAUUCGGAUGGGUAGUGAAUUAAUUCCAGCCUACCCACAAGGGGGGAGACCUUGGCGGAAUCUCCUGUUGGAAUCUAUCUGUACGAAUAUAUCCUUCGAGUCCAAAGCUGGAUCUUAUAUAGUUCAGAGGGGUCAUCCAUCGUUACACAAUGGCCCAUAGCUGUUGACAGUCUGCGAAGUAGUCUAGCUGUUGAAUAAUACUUGUCUGAGGUUAAUUGUCGGACAAUGCAAUUAACCUCUGCAGGCUACAUGUUAGUUAACAGUGGACAUUGUCAUUAAUUUGUCUAAAGGAUAAAUGUAAUUGUUUCAGUUACGUUAUAUUUGAAUACACCUUGAUAAUUAUUGUUAUGUCACACAUUGUGUUACAAAUGCCUUUCAUCGCAAUAAGAACGAAAGUUCGGUAAAAUACGAGAAUCUUCCUUAAUUUAUUCUAUUUUAAAUUCAGUAGUUCCUUGUUAAGUUUUCGGUAACCAUCACCACACAUCUAUAGUUCAUAAAAUUCGGCAAGUCCAACAUCUGGAUACAUAGAGUUCAUAUGAUUCAUAAAGUUCAAUAUUUGGGUAUAUAUUGUGCAUACUUUUUCCCGUCACCAUCAUAGCAUAUUGUUCCUCUACUACUUUGUACAAGUGUCGGUCAUCAUCUGCUAGUGGAUCCGGUCAUCAACGUUGUAAGGUUUACCAUCUAGUUCCAUUACUAAGUUGUUGACGUAUCUAUCUCUAGGUAAAUCUUUCUCAAGAGACUAUUAACAUCGGUCUCCGGUUAAGUUUCGUCCCUGAUCAAUGGCGCAGAGGAAGACAUCUCUCUGGAAGCAGUAACAUCUGUUCCAACCAAUUGCGUUGACACCAUUUUGUACCCGUUGUUCGUGGCAUUAGAACCAGAACUCGCACUUUUCUUUUUGGCUAACCAAGAUAUAUUCUUAAUAAUUUAACAGUACAAAAUAUGGCUAUUCAAAUGAAGAUUGCACCUAACCCACUGAUAAACUUAUCCCAAUUCGGAAAAACUAAAAUUUGUUUACUUCUUUUUUAUUUAUCAAUCGUUUGUUCAGUCGCCUUUAGUUCACUGGGUUAUCCAAGCCUAGCAAAGUUUAAUAAAACAAUUUCUAGAUAAAAUCAAUACGUUCUCUUAAAUAUCGAAUUAUCUGGUAAAAAAAAAAAAAAAAAAAAAAACAAAAGGGGAAAAA